GACAGAGGCCCCAAGCGUUAGGCGGAAUCACUGGGCUUAAAGCGUGUGUAGGCGGACGCCUAAGUGUCUUGUGAAAUCCCACGGCUCACCCGUGGAACUGCUGGGCAUACUGGGCGUCUUGGGCCAACUAGGGGCAGUCGGAACAAGCGGUGGAGCGGUGAAAUGCGUAGAUAUCAGGAGGAACACCGGUGGCGAAGGCGGUUCUCUGGGCCUUACCUGACGCUGAGGAGCGAAAGCGUGGGGAGCAAACAGG
rnacentral:rRNA from 1 species